rnacentral:tRNA from 1 species
UAAGCUCAGUUGGUACAGUAGGAGACUCCUAAUCUCAGGGGUGUGGUUUCAAGCCCCAUACAA